rnacentral:rRNA from 1 species
AACGAACGCUGGCGGCGCGCCUAACACAUGCAAGUCGAACGAGAAUCCGGGGCAACCCGGUAGUAAAGUGGCAAACGGGUGAGGAGUACAUGGGUAACCUACCCUUGAGAAGGGAAUAACCCGCCGAAAGGUGAGCUAAUACCCUAUACGCUAUCUUUUUUUCGAAAAGGAUAGGAAAGCCGGGUCGAGGACCUGGUACUCAAGGAGGGGCUCAUGUCCUAUCAGCUUGUUGGUGGGGUAACGGCCUACCAAGGCUACGACGGGUAGCUGGUCUGAGAGGAUGAUCAGCCACACUGGCACUGAGAUACGGGCCAGACUCCUACGGGAGGCAGCAGUGAGGAAUAUUGCGCAAUGGGCGAAAGCCUGACGCAGCGACGCCGCGUGGGGGAUGAAGGUUUUCGGAUUGUAAACCCUUUCAUGAGGAAAGAUAAAGUGGGUAACCACUUAGACGGUACCUCAAGAAGAAGCCACGGCUAACUUCGUG